rnacentral:rRNA from 1 species
GAUGAACGCUGGCGGCGUGCUUAACACAUGCAAGUCGAACGGAAAGGCCAGUGCUUGCACUGGUACUCGAGUGGAGAACGGGAGAGUAACACGUGGGUGAUCUGCCCUGUACUUCGAGAUAACCUUGAGAAACUGGCUCUAAUACCAGAUAAGACAACUUUUUGGAUAUUGUUGUGGAAAGAUUUUGCGGUAUGGGAUGAACUCGCGGCCUAUCAGCUUGUUGGUGAGGUAAUGGCCUACCAAGGCGACGACGGGUAGCCGGCCUGAGAGGGUGAACGGCCACAUUGGGACUGAGAUACGGCCCAGACUCCUACGGGAGGCAGCAGUGGGGAAUAUUGCACAAUGGGCGCAAGCCUGAUGCAGCGACGCCGCGUGAGGGAUGAAGGCCUUCGGGUUGUAAACUCCUUUCGCUAGGGACGAAGCAUUUUUGAGACGGUACCUGGAGAAGAAGCACCGGCUAACUACGUGCCAGCAGCCGCGGUAAUACGUAGGGUGCGAGCGUCGUCCAGAAAUACUGGGUAUAAAGAUCUUGUAGGUGGUUCGUCGCGUCUCUUGAAUAACUCCACAGCAUACCUGUGUGACUGCAGGCGAUACGGGCAUAACUUGAUUGCUGUAGGGAAAACUGGAAUUCCUGGGGUAGCGGUGAAAUGCCCAAAUAUCAGGAGGAACACCGAUGGCAAAGGCAGGUCUCUGGGCAGUAACUGACGAUGAGGAGCGAAAGCAUGGGUACCGAACAGGAUUAAAUACCCUGGUAGUCCAUGCCGUAAACGGUGGGCGCUAGGGGUGAGUCCCUUCCACGGGAUUUGUGCCGUAGCUAACGCAUUAAGCGCCCCGCCUGGGGAGUACGGCCGCAAGGCUAAAACUCAAAGGAAUUGACGGGGGCCCGCACAAGCGGCGGAGCAUGUGGAUUAAUUCGAUGCAACGCGAAGAACCUUACCUGGGCUUGACAUGUACCGGAUCGCCGCAGAGAUGUGGUUUCCCUUGUGGUCGCUAUACACGUGGGGCAUGGUUGUCGUCAGCUCGUGUCGUGAGAUGUUGGGUUAAGUCCCGCAACGAGCGCAACCCUUGUCUUAUGUGUGCCAGCACGUAAUGGUGGGGACUCAUGAGAGACUGCCGGGGUUAACUUGGAGGAAGGUGGGGAUGACGUCAAAUCAUCACUGCCCCUUAUGUUCAGGGCUUCACACAUGCUACAAUGGUCGGUACACCGCGUUUGCUACCUUGUGAGGGGAUGCUAAUCGCACAAAGCCGGCCUUAGUUCGGAUUGGGGUCUGCAACUCGACCCCAUGAAGUCGGAGUCGCUAGUAAUCGCAGAUCAGCAACGCUGCGGUGAAUACGUUCCCGGGCCU